rnacentral:lncRNA from 13 species
AUGUUAUAUUCCGGAUUAUCUACCCCUUCACUAAACAUGUUAUAUUCCGGAUUAUCUACCCCUUCACUAAACAUGUUCUAUUCCGGAUUAUCUACCCCUUCACUAAACAUGUUCUAUUCCGGAUUAACUGCCCCUUCACUAAACCAUUCCCAGAGUACAUUGGAAUAUAUAUCUCUUUCCUCCAGUGACAACAUCCCAUUUCCAGAAUACAGUGGGAUAUAUCUCUUUCCUCCAGGGACAAAAUCCCAUUCCCAAAAUACAGUGGGAUAUAUCUCUUUCCUCCAGGGACAAAAUCCAAUUCCCAAAAUACAGUGGGAUAUAUCUCUUUCCUCCAGGGACAGCAUCCCAUCCCAAGAACACAGUGGGAUAUAUCUCUUUCCUCCAGGGACAAAAUCCCAUUCCCAAAAUACAGUGGGAUAUAUCUCUUUCCUCCAGGGACAACAUCCCAUUCCCACAGUACAUUGGGAUAUAUAUAUCUUUCCUCCAGGGACAACAUCCCAUUCCCAGAAUACAGUGGGCUAUAUCUGUUUCCUACAGGGACAACAUCCCAUUCCUACAAUGCAGUGGGAUAUUUUUUUUUCCUCCAGGGACAACAUCCCAUUCCCACAAUACAGUGGGAUAUAUUAUUUUCCUCCAGGGACAACAUCCCAUUCCCGGAACACAGUGGGAUAUAUUUUUUUCCUCCAGGGACAACAUCCCAUUCCCACAACACAGUGGGAUGUAUUUUUUUCCUCCAGGGACAACAUCCCAUUUCCACAAUACAGUGGGAUAUAUCUGUUUCCUCAAGGGACAACAUCCCAUUCCCACAAUACAGUGGGAUAUAUCUCUUUCAGCCAGGGACAAAAUCCCAUUCCCAGAACAAAGUGGGAUAUAUCUCUUUCCUCCAGGGACAACAUCCCAUUCCCACAAUACAGUGGGAUAUAUCUGUGUCCUCCAGGGACAACAUCCCAUUUCCAGAAUACAGUGGGAUAUAUCUCUUUCCUCCAGUGACAACAUCCCAUUCCCACAAUACAGUAGGAUAUAUCUCUUUCCUCCAGGGACAACAUCCCAUUCCCACAAAACAAUGGGAUUGAUCUCUUUCCUCCAGGGACAACAUCCCAUCCCAAGAAUACACUGGGAUAUAUCUAUUUCCUCCAGGGACAACAUCCCAUUCCCAGAAUAGAGUGGGCUAUAUCUGUUUCCUCCAGGGACAACAUCCCAUUCUCAGCAGACAGUGGGAUAUAUCUCUUUCCUCCAGGGACAACUUCCCAUUUCCACAAUACAGUGGUAUAUAUAUCUUUCCUCCAGGGACAACAUCCCAGUCCCACAAUACAGCGUGAUAUAUUUUUUUCCUCCAGAGACAACAUCCCAUUCCCAGAACACAGUGGGAUAUAUCUGUUUCCUCCAAGGACAACAUCCCAUUCCCAGAUCAGAGUGGGCUAUAUCUGUUUCCUCCAGGGACAACAUCCCAUUCCCAGAACACAGUGGGAUAUAUCUCUUUCCUUCAGGGACAACAUCCCAUUCCCACAGUACAUUGGGAUAUAUCUCUUUCCUCCAGGGACAACAUCCCAUUCCCAGAACACAGUGGGAUAGAUCUCUUUCCUACAGGAACAACAUCAUAUUCGCAUCAUACAGUGGGAAAUAUCUCUUUCCUCCAGGGACAACUUCCCAUUCCCACAAUACAGUGGUAUAUAUCUCUUUCCUCCAGGGACAACAUCCCAGUCCCACAAUACAGCGUGAUAUAUUUUUUUCCUCCAGAGACNNNNNNNNNNNNNNNNNNNNNNNNNNNNNNNNNNNNNNNNNNNNNNNNNNNNNNNNNNNNNNNNNNNNNNNNNNNNNNNNNNNNNNNNNNNNNNNNNNNNCGUUUCCUCCCUCUCCUCUUUCUCUCUCCUUUCGUUCAGUUAUUUCCUCCCUCCUUUCCUUCAGUCGUUUCCUCCCUCUCCUCUGUCUCUCUCCUCCUUUCCUUCAGUCGUUUCCUCAAUCUCCUCUUUCUCUCUCUUUUCCUUCAGUCGUUUCCUCCCUCUCCUCUGUCUCUCUCCUCCUUUCCUUCAGUCGUUUCCUCCCUCUCCUUUCUUUCUCCUUUCCUUCAGUCGUUUCCUCCCUCUGUCAGCAGCCCUCUUCUAUCCUUCCUGGAGUUCCACAUCCCAGUACCGUUAACUUUUCUGGAAUAUUCCUUCUUCAUAUUGUAUAUAAUAAUACAUUAUGUUUUUCACCACCGAAGAUUCCUGAUUCCUGGUUCCUGUUCCUGGUUCCUGUUCCUGGUUCCUGGUUCCUGUUCCUGGUUCCUGGUUCCUGGUUCCUGGUUCCUGGUUCCUGGUUCCCUUGGUGGGUCGAAUCACGAGCCGGAUAGAAAGAGGAAGGAGGUGGUUCUUGUUGUUGUUCAUCUGUAAUAGAGCAGGAGAAAAAAUUAUGUGUGUGUGUGUGUGUCUACGCGCAGUUGUGCGUGUGUGUGUGUGUGUGCGCGCGUGUGUGUGCGUGUGUGUGUGUGCAGACAGUCUGAAAGCCCAGUACUAAAUAAAUACAAACGAUCUGGACUUCCAUUAUCUUUUCUCUCUGGAGCACUCGCUCCACUCCUCCCUCUCUCUCUCUCUCUCUCUCUCUCUCUCUCUCUCUCUCUCUCUCUCUCUCUCUCUCUCUCUCUCUCUCUCUCUCUCUCUCUCUCUGUGUGUGUGUGUCAAAUACACACACACACAUACAUACACACAAACACUGUUAAUCAUGACAUGUUGACCUUGUUUCUCAAAAAAUAUAUUGAUCUUGCUGAAAUGUCAACUAGACUGUAAGUCUGCCUCCCAAUUGGCUCCCAAUUCCCUACAUAGUGUACUGCUUUUGACCAGAGCCUUCUGGGUAAUAGACUUUGACCAGAGCCCUCUGGGUAGCACACUUUAUAGAGAAUAUGGUGCCAUUGGGGACAAAUAUUUAAUACCGCCCACCUGCCUGUCCCAGCUGUCAAUCAAAUGUCUCUAAAAGCUGACACCUCUAUCAACAAAAUCUAGUUAGCCUCACUCUCUCUUUCUCUCUCUCGCUCUCUCUCUCUCGCUUUCUCUCUCGCGCUUUCUCUCUCUCUCUCGCUUUCUCUCUUCUUACAAUAUCUAUUUCAAUCUAUCUGUGUGUUUUCCAUUUCAAACACGUCCUUACCUCCUUCUGUUAUUUUACUAAAAUAUUAUUCCACCCCUUCCUCCGCUCCUCCUUUCCCUUUCACUCCUUCACAAGGUUAUAGAGAUCAAACAAACCUAGUUCACCGUAUCCUUCCGUAGUUCACCGUAUCCUUCCGUUUGGAAUCCCAGAAUCACAGAAUGUCGUAUCCUCUCUCCUGUAUCUCCCGAUACAUGUGACACGCUGCAACUCUGGAAAAACAGGCAACCCUCUCAUGCUCUCUCUCUCUCACUCUCGCUCUCUCGCUCUCUCGCUGUGUCGCUGUCUUUCUCGUUCUCUCACCAGCUGUACAGCUCAGAAUCUCUUCAGAGAACAAAUCCUCUCUCUUUAUUCAUCCCCUCUUCCAUCUCUACCUCUGUCCAGAUCUCUCUGUCCGUAGAUUGCAUUUUAAUUCAUUUUAAUCCCGGAGUAAAGAAGAGAGGGAUGAAGGGGAGAGGAAGAAAACGUUAAACGAGGAACGAGGAAAAACACCGGUGGAGAUAAUUCCCUCUGUAGGUUUUUUCCUGUCCUCCUUGUCAGCAGUCCUCCUGUUUUCAUUCAUCCUCUUAUCUCUCUAUCGUUUUACUCCUCUCAUUUUUUUGGUCUUUCUCCGGGUGGAUGGUGGGAUUUGUAGCAUCAACAGAAGAGAGAGAAAAGGAGUGUGUGUCUGCUUACCAUGUGCAGGCUACACUGACUGAUACAGAGAGAGGCGGAGAGAGAGAGAGAGAGAGAGAGAGAGAGAGAGAGAGAGAGAGAGAGAGAGAGAGAGAGAGG